rnacentral:ncRNA from 2 species
UGAACAAACACGGGGAGCCGCUCGGCUGAGAGUAAGCAUCCGCUUAGACCCGCAUACCUGAUUUGGACAAUGCCAACGUAGGGAUUCAUACUGCCGGACCG